GUCUAUGGCCAUGCCACCCUGAACAAGCCCAAUGUCUGAUCUCAGAAGCUAAGUAGGGUCAGGCCUGGUUAGUACUUGGAUGGGAGACCACCUAGGAAGACCAGGUGCUGUAGGCA
rnacentral:rRNA from 1 species